CAGUAGCCGCGGUAAUACAGAGGUCUCAAGCGUUGUUCGGAUUCAUUGGGCGUAAAGGGUGCGUAGGUGGCGGUGUAAGUCUAACGUGAAAUCUCGGGGCUCAACCUCGAAAUUGCGUCGGAUACUGCAUUGCUAGAGGAUUGUAGAGGAGAGUGGAAUCCAUGGUGUAGCAGUGAAAUGCGUAGAUAUCAUGAGGAAGACCAGUUGCGAAGGCGACUCUCUGGGCAAUUCCUGACACUGAGGCACGAAGGCUAGGGGAGCAAACGGGAUUAGAUACCCCCGUAGUCCCUGUCUCUUAUAA
rnacentral:rRNA from 1 species